GACGAACGCUGGAGGCAGGCUUAACACAUGCAAGUCGAGCGAGCGGCGGACGGGUGAGUAAUGUCUGGGAAACUGCCUGAUGGAGGGGGAUAACUACUGGAAACGGUAGCUAAUACCGCAUACCAUCGGAGGUGCCCAGAUGGGAUUAGCUAGUAGGUGGGGUAUAGGCUCACCUAGGCGACGAUCCCUAGCUGGUCUGAGAGGAUGACCAGCCACACUGGAACUGAGACAUGGUCCAGACUCCUACGGUAGGCAGCAGUGGGGAAUAUUGCACAAGGGGCGCAAGCCGGAUGCAGCCAUGCCGCGUAUAUGAAGAAGGCCUUCGGGUUGAAAAGUACUUUCAGCGGGGAGGCGUUACCCGAAGAAGAAGCACCGGCUAACUCCGUGCCAGCAGCCGCGGUAAUAC
rnacentral:rRNA from 1 species